rnacentral:lncRNA from 7 species
AGUCUCCCUUCAUUCACUACUGAGAAGUCUGUGCUUCUGAUGAAUCAAAGAUGACAAGGUUCAGUGCUACUUUUUCAAGUAUUGGCUCUUGUUAGGCUGUUUCCUUAGCAGUUAGAGACCUCUGAGAUGAGAGAUUUUCUCCCACAGAAGAUAUUUGUUAUUGCUCUGUGUCUGAAGCCCAAACACCUCCUCUGCAGCUGCAUUAUAACAAAAACAAGCUGUACAUUCCAGUGGAUCAGUGAUUGCUGCAAGAUAUACAGCAAUGUGAAUUUUAAGAGAAAACUGCUUUCUGGAUGUUAUUUGAGCUAGCAGCUGUCCAAAAUCCUCAGCUCACCUCUUACCAAGAAAGAGCAUGUCAGAUCCAAACUGAACUUCUUGGAAAAGAGAACUCGGCCAGUGAACCCAUUUUCACAUCAGUGUAAUGACCUUAACAAAAAUGAAGGUGGACCAAGGAAAACUUGCAGGGUUUAUGAAGAGUUCUGCACUAUCUUUUCAACCACUGAAUUCUCCACUGCUCUGGGUCUGACAAUGCAAACUGUAAUUGUGAAGAUGAAUCCAGUCUGGAUUACCUUUUACACAGAAAUUGCCACAGCUCAUGAAACUUCAUCUGGUUACAACUAAUGCAAUGGAACUGCGUGAAUUAAUCUCAGGUAGCUGGAGAGAACAAUGAGGAUUCCACUCAGCCUUAUGACUGUGCCUUCUCUGACAGCUGCAUACAGAAGAUAAUGCUGAGACGGAAGGAGUCCAGAGAGAGUUUAAAGACAGUUGUUAAAGAAGUGUUAUUAAAGAGCCGUAAGACUUUAUUAUUCUUAGUAAUGGGCUUCAUUUCUGGAACCAGCUCUCCAUUUGUGUUAUGAAGUUUUACAAAGGUCCUGUUUUGGAAUGGAUCUGCUAAAAAUGCUGUGCACAAAAGGGAAAAGCAUGGAUAUGUGGCACCAGAACACCGUGAAGGCUUAAAACUGAAGCUGCCGGUUAGCCCAAGGCUGAAGAUUUUUCAAGUUAAUAUUUAAAGGCCCAAGAGUAUUGCAUCCCAAGUGCAUUUUUGAGCUUCUGAUGCCCUGUAUUCCAUUUCAAUCUUGACGGUUAGGAGAGAGAAAUCUGGGGCCUGAGGGCUUUCUGAAACGGAACAAGCUGAGAGUGUGCAGCAUCUCUUCCUCUGGAGUACUGGAUGUGCCAGGAGCAUCAUCCUAUUACUAAUAAGUCGAAAUAGACAGCAGGAAAUGCAGGUCCCUCCCUAGCAGUGCCAGAAUGCAUCUCUGUGUGUAUCCAGCAAUCUGGGUGAUAUGUUGACAGAAUGAGGCCAGCGAUGCAAAUAAAGGAAUUUUUUUCCCUCUCUCCUUGCAAAAAUAACAAAACUCUCACUGAAUGUUUCAGGAAACAUUGAGCUCAGGUACCAAAAUGAACUGGAGGAACAGGAUUUUUGAGUAAUGUUUCUGCUGGAGGACUGAGGUUUCCACGAACUACCUUUUCGGCACGUAAGAGACAUUUCCAAGUGACCUUAGUGUAGAGAUGACAGUGCGGAUGAUAUUACACUUCAGUGAUGCCUCACUAGUUAUUCAAAGUUGUGUGGACAGUUUCAUACCCUGGAUAAAUGGUAGACAAAGGAAUUCACUCUCUGCUGUUUCCUCCCCCUUCAAACUGUAAAAUGCCUGAUUCUGUCUCAUCAUGUAAAACAUAAAAUUUAAAACAAUCAGAAGAAAG